rnacentral:rRNA from 1 species
AGUGAACGCUGGCGGUAGGCCUAACACAUGCAAGUCGAACGGCAGCACAGUAAGUGCUUGCUCUUACGGGUGGCGAGUGGCGUACGGGUUAGGAAUACAUCGUAAUCUACUUUUUCGUUGUUGAUUACGUAGGGAAACUUACGCUAAUACCGCAUACGACCUACGUGUUCAAGCUGUUGAUCUUUUUACCUUUUGCGAUUCAAUGAGCCGAUUUCGGUUUAGCUAGUUGGGUGGGUAAAGGCCCACCAAGGCGACGAAUCGUAGCUGAUCUGAGAGGAUGAUCAGCAAAACUGGAAGUGAGACAAGGUGAAGAAACAUACGGGAGGCAGCAGUGGGGAAUAUAAGAAAAUGGGCGGAAGGAUGAUAAAGCAAUACAGGGUGGGUGAAGAAGGACUACGGGUUGUAAAGCCCUUUUGUUGGGAAAGAAAAGAAGCAGGUUAAUACCACGAUGUAGUGACGGUACCCAAAGAAUAAGCACCGGCUAACUACGUG